rnacentral:rRNA from 1 species
GUGUCAGCCGCCGCGGUAAGACAGAGGGUGCAAACGUUGUUCGGAAUUACUGGGCGUAAAGCGCAUGUAGGCGGUUCGUAAAGUCAGAUGUGAAAGCCCUGGGCUUAACCCAGGAAGUGCAUUUGAAACUCACGAACUUGAGUCCCGGAGAGGAAGGCGGAAUUCUCGGUGUAGAGGUGAAAUUCGUAGAUAUCGAGAGGAACAUCGGUGGCGAAGGCGGCCUUCUGGACGGUGACUGACGCUGAGAUGCGAAAGCGUGGGGAGCAAACAGGAUUAGAUACCCCUGUAGUCC